rnacentral:lncRNA from 1 species
GGUUUUGAUUGUGAGGAUCCGAUAGUUAGUUGAUGCACAUACAUACAUUCAGCAGUUUUAUCAAGAGCAUCUGUAGUAUAGAAGUAUAGUGGUUGUAGAGUUUCAUUCCAACUUAUACCUAUAUCCUAUUGUACAGUUGAUCAUCGUUUAUUUUUACGGCUCUAGUAAAUCUAGUGGGUAGGUUAUUGUCAUUGGUGAUGGUACCUACUAAAGACUACUUUUAUAGUAGUUCUCAUGGACUCUAUUAUUGUAUUGUUUUUUUAAAUUUUUGUUAGAGUCGUCUAUGCCGAUUGCUGAUUCUGACCGAGAUACGAGGAGUGAGUUAGU